rnacentral:rRNA from 1 species
UACGUAGGGGGCAAGCGUUGUCCGGAUUUAUUGGGCGUAAAGAGCAUGUAGGCGGCCAGACAGGUCCGUUGUGAAAACUCGAGGCUCAACCUCGAGAUGUCGAUGGAAACCGUCUGGCUAGAGUCCGGAAGAGGAGUGUGGAAUUCCUGGUGUAGCGGUGAAAUGCGCAGAUAUCGGGAAGAACACCCGUGGCGAAGGCGGUUCUCUGGGACGGUACUGACGCUGAGACGCGAAAGCGUGGGGAGCGAACAGG